UGCGUAGGUGGAUUGGUAAGUCAGUGGUGAAAUCUCUGGGCUUAACUCAGAAACUGCCAUUGAUACUAUUAGUCUUGAAUACCGUGGAGGUCAGCGGAAUAUGUCAUGUAGCGGUGAAAUGCUUAGAUAUGACAUAGAACACCAAUUGCGAAGGCAGCUGGCUACACGAAUAUUGACACUGAGGCACGAAAGCGUGGGGAUCAAACAGGAUUAGAUACCCUGGUAGUCCACGCCCUAAACGAUGGAUACUCGACAUUUGCGAUAAACUGCAAGUGUCUGAGCGAAAGCAUUAAGUAUCCCACCUGGGAAGUACGAUCGCAAGAUUGAA
rnacentral:rRNA from 1 species